UUGUUAAUCUAUAAAAUAAAAUCGAACAGACCUAUAAAAAUCCAAUUGCACGUGUUGGUUUAAUCUAUUCAUAUCUUUAUUUAUGUUUACAUCACUUAUAUGGUCAUCUGAGGUCAAAUCAAUAGUUAAUUAGAUGGUGUCUUAUUCAGGACUAAAAUACACACGAAAACAAACCUAUAUAUUAUCUACCCCAUGCUCUGUAAACUGUUUAUUUUAGACUUUUGAUAGUUUGGAUAAAUGUUUUACAUUGUUAUAAAUUAAAUAUGAGAAUUUUAGUCAAAUCGGUGACCAUGAAUUUGACAGCUAGUGCCCCUUUAAAAAUGAAAUUGAUAUUGCGUUCCUUCCUAUUGUAUACUAGACUGAUAAAUAUAUAUUUGACUCAAAGUUUCAUGAAAAGAGACCUGAAAAGGAAAUACAUUGUAGAUUUCUGCGCAGAUGUGGGAAUUCAAAACACGACACAAAAAUUUUGAACGAUUUUGAGUUCAUUAGUAC
rnacentral:lncRNA from 1 species